rnacentral:rRNA from 1 species
GAUGAACGCUGGCGGCGUGCCUAAUACAUGCAAGUCGAGCGAACAGACGAGGAGCUUGCUCCUCUGACGUUAGCGGCGCACGGGUGAGUAACACGUGGAUAACCUACCUAUAAGACUGGUAUAACUUCGGGAAACCGGAGCUAAUACCGGAUAAUAUAUUGAACCGCAUGGUUCAAUAGUGAAAGACGGUUUUGCUGUCUCUUAUAGAUGGAUCCGCGCCGCAUUAGCUAGUUGUUACGGUAACGGCUUACCAAGGCAACGAUGCGUAGCCGACCUGAGAGGGUGAUCGGCGACACGGGAACGGGGACACGGUCCAGACUCCUACGGGAGGCAGCAGUAGGGAAUCGUCCGCAAUGGGCGAGAGCAUGACGGAGCAACGCGGCGUGAGUGAUGAAGGUGUUGGGAUCGUAAAACUCGGUUAUUAGGGAAGAACAAAUGUGUAAGUAACUAUGCACGUCUUGACGGUACCUAAUCAGAAAGCCACGGCUAACUACGUG